AGAGUUUGAUCCUGGCUCAGGAUGAACGCUAGCUACAGGCUUAACACAUGCAAGUCGAGGGGCAGCAUGGUCUUAGCUUGCUAAGGCCGAUGGCGACCGGCGCACGGGUGAGUAACACGUAUCCAACCUGCCGUCUACUCUUGGACAGCCUUCUGAAAGGAAGAUUAAUACAAGAUGGCAUCAUGAGUCCGCAUGUUCACAUGAUUAAAGGUAUUCCGGUAGACGAUGGGGAUGCGUUCCAUUAGAUAGUAGGCGGGGUAACGGCCCACCUAGUCUUCGAUGGAUAGGGGUUCUGAGAGGAAGGUCCCCCACAUUGGAACUGAGACACGGUCCAAACUCCUACGGGAGGCAGCAGUGAGGAAUAUUGGUCAAUGGGCGCAGGCCUGAACCAGCCAAGUAGCGUGAAGGAUGACUGCCCUAUGGGUUGUAAACUUCUUUUAUAAAGGAAUAAAGUCGGGUAUGUAUACCCGUUUGCAUGUACUUUAUGAAUAAGGAUCGGCUAACUCCGUGCCAGCAGCCGCGGUAAUACGGAGGAUCCGAGCGUUAUCCGGAUUUAUUGGGUUUAAAGGGAGCGUAGAUGGAUGUUUAAGUCAGUUGUGAAAGUUUGCGGCUCAACCGUAAAAUUGCAGUUGAUACUGGAUAUCUUGAGUGCAGUUGAGGCAGGCGGAAUUCGUGGUGUAGCGGUGAAAUGCUUAGAUAUCACGAAGAACUCCGAUUGCGAAGGCAGCCUGCUAAGCUGCAACUGACAUUGAGGCUCGAAAGUGUGGGUAUCAAACAGGAUUAGAUACCCUGGUAGUCCACACGGUAAACGAUGAAUACUCGCUGUUUGCGAUAUACAGCAAGCGGCCAAGCGAAAGCGUUAAGUAUUCCACCUGGGGAGUACGCCGGCAACGGUGAAACUCAAAGGAAUUGACGGGGGCCC
rnacentral:rRNA from 1 species